UGUGCCUCCUCUCUACACUCUACACACACAACUCUACCUUGUUAGCUAUGACCCAAUAAAGCUUUGAAAUUUUGAGAGUGUAGAUCUUGUGGAAUUAUUACAUAAUCAAAUGAUAUAAAUGCUCAGAAACUUGAAAGGGAUAUGAUGAAUUUAAUGUGCAGUAGCAAAAUCCAAAGUUUUCUUACUUUUGGGUACAGUCAACUAUGAAUACAGAGUAGACCCUUUUCUCACCUCUUUGUAUUUGUGUUCUCCUUUCCUACAGAAUCACAGAAUCACAGCCCCCACCAUUUGCUCUCCCUUUCCACCAUUUAUGAGCCGCUACCUCCCUUAAAAGCACUCCUUCACUUUCUCCCAUUUUACAUAUAAUCCUUUUUAAUAUUGUUAGAAAAAAUUAUUUUCUUUUUCUAUUUAGACAUACCAAACCAACUGAAGUUUCCAUUUAACUGCUGACAAGUUAGGAAUUUUUGCAUAUAAUAUAGUAUUUAAUACAACAGGG
rnacentral:lncRNA from 1 species